CCUGGGUACUGCAUCUGAGACCCCAGGCUUGUAGUGAGCACUCACUGCAGUGAUGGCUGAGGUGCAUGUGUCGUCCCAGGAAGACCGGAGAUGCACACUGUGAGAAGUGAACAAUGGCACUCGUCUCUAAUGGUCUUGUGUGUGUUUUUCCCCAACGAGCUUUCACCAAUCAGUGCCUAGAAAGUGUUUGGAAGAUGAGACUCAGGGCUUCUUCCGGCUGAGGUGGCCACUCUGGCUGAGGCGUCUGCUCAGCCCUUUCGGUGGCACACGCAAGAAAGCCAAGGACUUGCCCCAGACAAGGAGCCUUCUGUAAAGGAAGAGUUUCCUGACAAGGACGCAGGGGAGCUCAGCGAGGCCCCCGCCGAGAAAACGCCCCCUCCAGAGUCCUCGGCAGAAGGUGAAGAGAGCGAAGCCCCCGAGGAAAACACGGAGUGACCGUCCCACCUCUGUCACCUGCAACUCCUGUUUUCUGAUAUUGGCAUCUCAGCGGUGCUUAUAAAAUACUUAAUUGCUUACAUUCAUGGGUGUGAUAUUCGUAAGCAAUUCUAGCCAGGUGGCGAGAAAUUAAAAUGUUGUCAAAUAUUUAUUGUAUGCAGUAACAGGGGCCACAGGCAAGAAAAGCAGGACUGCUUCUAGAAGCCUCCGAGGGAGUCAAGCCCUCCCCAGGGGCACAGCACCAGCAAGAACUCUCACCUCUCUUCUUCCAUUAAGUCAGUCUCCAAGAACCCGAAAACACAUCCCCAAGGUGUAGACUUUUAAAUCAAAUACCGGGUGUUCUGGUGCUUUCUUUCCCCUGGAUCACUGAGAACCAAUCAACAGAGGGGGAUUAGACCUCCAGCUCACAGAGGACCCGCUUCCUCUGGUCGGUCUCGGAGGGCCUUGGGGUGGUCAGAAUAUUUGGAUCUUAAUACCUCCCAAGUCACUGUCCAAAGUUUGUCACUGGGAGUGAGAAGCACUUCAGCAAGCUACCAGUAUUCCUGAGUCUAAAAUAUAAGAUGAAAUGGUACUAAUAACAAUGAGCAGAGGCCAGCGCUGUGGCGUAGUGGGUCAAGCUGGCACCUGCAGUGCCGGCCUCCCAUAUGGGAGCUGGUUCAAGUCCCAGCUGCUCCACUUCUGAUCCAGCUCUCUGCUAUGGCCUGGGAAAGCAGUAGAAGAUGGCCCAAGUCCUUGGGCCCCUGCUCCCAUGUGGGGGACCCAGGGGAAGCUUCUGGCUCCUGGCUUUGGAUUGGCUCAGCUCCGGCCAUUGCAGCCAACUGGGAAGUGAACCAGCGAAUGGAAAACCUCUCUCU